UGAAAUUUAUUGUGUUGUUUAGCAAUUGAGCAACAAGAAGACUGCCUGCCUUCGAAAGCAGAUGAAAAUAUUUGUGUAAACUGCUCAGGCUGAGUGCUUUGCUCAAGGGCAUGGCGAUUUAUCUCAAUCUGACAACGAAUCAUUCCGCUGAAACUGUGCCACAUGACGUCCAACCUGAGAGAGAAGCUUCGAUUAAAAUGUUCAGCUCACCUGCAGAUAAUACCAUUAGUCAUAAAUUGAGCAAUCAACCUCCAAUUGUGCAGGAACAAAAUGUCAUUCCAGUUAGAGCCGGAUCUAAUUUCAGCAUCUGUGGAAUAACAGGCAGGCCGAGGCACAGCAAGGAACUGUAGUAUAUGACGGGAAACUGUCCGAGAGGGCAACCGCGAGGACUCCAGGAACUGGAGUUGGUGGACAGCACGGUGAAGAUGUGGCUGUGCUCCAUGGCC